AGAGUUUGAUCAUGGCUCAGAUUGAACGCUGGCGGCAGGCCUAACACAUGCAAGUCGAGCGGUAGCACAGAGAGCUUGCUCUCGGGUGACGAGCGGCGGACGGGUGAGUAAUGUCUGGGAAACUGCCUGAUGGAGGGGGAUAACUACUGGAAACGGUAGCUAAUACCGCAUAAUGUCGCAAGACCAAAGUGGGGGACCUUCGGGCCUCAUGCCAUCAGAUGUGCCCAGAUGGGAUUAGCUAGUAGGUGGGGUAACGGCUCACCUAGGCGACGAUCCCUAGCUGGUCUGAGAGGAUGACCAGCCACACUGGAACUGAGACACGGUCCAGACUCCUACGGGAGGCAGCAGUGGGGAAUAUUGCACAAUGGGCGCAAGCCUGAUGCAGCCAUGCCGCGUGUGUGAAGAAGGCCUUCGGGUUGUAAAGCACUUUCAGCGGGGAGGAAGGCGNUAAGGUUAAUAACCUUGGCGAUUGACGUUACCCGCAGAAGAAGCACCGGCUAACUCCGUGCCAGCAGCCGCGGUAAUACGGAGGGUGCAAGCGUUAAUCGGAAUUACUGGGCGUAAAGCGCACGCAGGCGGUCUGUCAAGUCGGAUGUGAAAUCCCCGGGCUCAACCUGGGAACUGCAUUCGAAACUGGCAGGCUAGAGUCUUGUAGAGGGGGGUAGAAUUCCAGGUGUAGCGGUGAAAUGCGUAGAGAUCUGGAGGAAUACCGGUGGCGAAGGCGGCCCCCUGGACAAAGACUGACGCUCAGGUGCGAAAGCGUGGGGAGCAAACAGGAUUAGAUACCCUGGUAGUCCACGCCGUAAACGAUGUCGAUUUGGAGGUUGUGCCCUUGAGGCGUGGCUUCCGGAGCUAACGCGUUAAAUCGACCGCCUGGGGAGUACGGCCGCAAGGUUAAAACUCAAAUGAAUUGACGGGGGCCCGCACAAGCGGUGGAGCAUGUGGUUUAAUUCGAUGCAACGCGAAGAACCUUACCUGGUCUUGACAUCCACAGAACUUUCCAGAGAUGGAUUGGUGCCUUCGGGAACUGUGAGACAGGUGCUGCAUGGCUGUCGUCAGCUCGUGUUGUGAAAUGUUGGGUUAAGUCCCGCAACGAGCGCAACCCUUAUCCUUUGUUGCCAGCGGUUAGGCCGGGAACUCAAAGGAGACUGCCAGUGAUAAACUGGAGGAAGGUGGGGAUGACGUCAAGUCAUCAUGGCCCUUACGACCAGGGCUACACACGUGCUACAAUGGCAUAUACAAAGAGAAGCGACCUCGCGAGAGCAAGCGGACCUCAUAAAGUAUGUCGUAGUCCGGAUUGGAGUCUGCAACUCGACUCCAUGAAGUCGGAAUCGCUAGUAAUCGUAGAUCAGAAUGCUACGGUGAAUACGUUCCCGGGCCUUGUACACACCGCCCGUCACACCAUGGGAGUGGGUUGCAAAAGAAGUAGGUAGCUUAACCUUCGGGAGGGCGCUUACCACUUUGUGAUUCAUGACUGGGGUGAAGUCGUAACAAGGUAACCGUAGGGGAACCUGCGGUUGGAUCACCU
rnacentral:rRNA from 1 species